rnacentral:rRNA from 1 species
AUACGUAGGGAGCGAGCGUUGUUCGGAUUUACUGGGCGUAAAGGGCAGGUAGGCGGGUAUGUAAGUCGAUUGUGAAAUCCUCUGGCUCAACCAGAGAAUUGCAGUCGAAACUACAUACCUUGAGUUCAGCAGAGGGAAUCGGAAUCCUAGGUGUAGCGGUGAAAUGCGUAGAUAUCUAGGAGAACACCAGUGGCGAAGGCGGAUUCCUGGGCUGACACUGACGCUGAGCUGCGAAAGCGUGGGUAGCGAACAGGAUUAGAAACCCCAGUAGUCC